GUUUCCAUGGUGUAAUGGUCAACACUAUAGGCUUUAAACCCACUGAUCUGAGUUUGAAUCUUUGUGGAACCU